UUGCAGAGAUUAAGAGGGCGUGAAACCGUUAUAUUGGCAAACGAAUCGGAGCCACGAAGUCGUUUCGUUGUUGGGUCCAAGUUCAGCUUAGCAAGACAUUGCUGGGUGUACUCUUGGGCUAACCAACUUUGUAAGCGUACACUGCAACCAGUUAGACGAUUGGAAAUGGGUCCAGUUUGAAGCAGACUUCGGUUUGCCUCAGGCGAAGCAUUUAUUUGUUCGAGUUAGUAGUAGCGCUGGUGAGUUUCGGCUUACUUUGUGUUGCUGGGCUCGCAACAAGUGAACUAUAUCCAAAUACUGACUGGCAAAAUGAAAAUCACCCCCAGUGGUGUUGUACACAAUGCAAUGCCUACACUAUGAGCUACAUACUGAACCAUGUGGUUUUAAGCUCAGCAUUUUUGAAUUUGGACUUGCUCGCUACCAGUGGGGCAACUCCUGGUGCUUGUAUAGCUUUCAUCUAAUCGGGUGUUGACUUGGCUAUAUGUAGUUUUAGUAUGCUAUGAUAGGCUUGUAGUGUAAGGUAAUUUGCCAUUGGAUUGGCAGUGAGUAGGUCGGCUUUCCGAACGACCCGUCUUGAAACACGGACCAAGGAGUCUAAUUAGGCAUCAAGUCGAUCGGUCUUGAUUAGGCCAGACAGUGGGGGUGUUACAGCCUCCCACAAUUGAAGGCGUAGAGAAAUCAAAUCAUGUGAUCGUGGCGGGCAACAACAGCCUCCAUGCGCAACAUGUGCCUGUUCGUAUAGUAAUGUUAGCAAUAACUUACUGUGCGGAGCAAAGAGAUGCCUGAUUGGUACCCGAAGAUGGCAUUUUUUUAAAAUUUU
rnacentral:rRNA from 1 species